UGAGGAAUAUUGGUCAAUGGGCGAGAGCCUGAACCAGCCAAGUAGCGUGCAGGAUGACGGCCCUAUGGGUUGUAAACUGCUUUUAUGUGGGGAUAAAGUGCGUGACGUGUCAUGCAUUGCAGGUACCACAUGAAUAAGGACCGGCUAAUUCCGUGCCAGCAGCCGCGGUAAUACGGAAGGUCCGGGCGUUAUCCGGAUUUAUUGGGUUUAAAGGGAGCGUAGGCUGUCUAUUAAGCGUGUUGUGAAAUAUACCGGCUCAACCGGUGGCUUGCAGCGCGAACUGGUCGACUUGAGUAUGCAGGAAGUAGGCGGAAUUCAUGGUGUAGCGGUGAAAUGCUUAGAUAUCAUGACGAACUCCGAUUGCGCAGGCAGCUUACUGUAGCAUAACUGACGCUGAUGCUCGGAAGUGCGGGUAUCAAACAGG
rnacentral:rRNA from 1 species